GACACCAAGUCAGUGUGUGGGGGACCCUGUAGAUACGUGUCCAGACGAUCACAGAAUUUCUGAUGACACCACUGCCACAUGGAAUGGAGGUGGCCUCCCCAGGGCGCCCCUACACUCAUGGCAAUGAAUCCUGGCUCUUAUUUACCCUUUUGGAUUUUAUCAGCAAGUGGGCCCCCUCCAUUUUUGUUUGGAACCUGCCCGAAAGCAGCGUGGAGGAGAGAAGGAGCUGUUUGAUUUCCAUUGUUGCGGCUUUCUUGGAAUGUGCGACCCAGGCCGGCGUCUCCUGGUUAGGAAAAUGUUCUGAACUUGCCUGGGGUGAGACUGGAGCUCAUUUCCUGGUUGAGGUCUUAAAUCCUGACCAGAGUCAAGUGUAUCAGAUUCUCGCAGUGCCAAGGAUCAGUGUCUGGUGGAGACAGCAGAUUCUCCAAGGCACACAGCAAUCUCCGUCUCCUGCAAUGACCUGUGCACCAGACCUCACCUUAACCACCUGCCAUCUGCACUCGGCAGCCCCGGUACCCUGAGGACAAUUGCUCCGAGCAUCUCUUGUUCACUCUCCAGCUUUUGCUUGGCUCCACCCUCUGUGGAAACAGCUGGCCCCUUGACUGGCAGAUGCAGGGAACUUUCUGAGUCCAGGGCCUUCAACCUUGUGUCUUCAGGAGCCUCUGCAAAGCUGUCUGCCACCGAGGUGGGCCCUGUCCCUCCACUCCCUGUUUUCUUCCUUCUCUGCUCCUCUGCAUCACCCUCUCAACUCACUCAGCAAAAGAAAGGAAGCCUUUCAUUUUCACUCUUUGAAAUCUUUCUUCGAACACUUCAUAUUCAAUCACUUCUCGUCCUUGGAUAGAGUUUUGUGUUGUUUUAAGAACAGUGUUUUCCAGUGGUGGGAUCUAUACCUCCAGCCAGGUCACGCCUCUGUGGCCCAGUCUCCUUUUGCCAGCCAUCUAACUGUCAUGUAUAAAUGCCUGGCAGCUGCUUAUGUCUGUAUGUCCAGCUGUGUGUUCUGCAGUCGGUUACUUACAGGGUCAGAUUGUACUUCUGCCUAUUACUUCAAAUUGUCUCUUUCUUGCAAGCAUCCGGGGGUGUCUUGCCUCACAUGCAAACAAACACAGAACAAAACUAGAAAACCUCAAAGGAAUUUCUGCAUUGAAGAGAUUUUAAUGGCAAAAUAAUGAAGUUUACUUGUGAUUAAAAAAACAGCUGCAAUUUUUUAAUAAAAACAACUCAAAAUUAUCUUGGUGUUUUUUU
rnacentral:lncRNA from 13 species